AUACGAAGGUCCCAAGCGUUAUUCGGAAUCACUGGGCGUAAAGAGUACGUAGGCGGUUUGGUAAGUCAGGUGUGAAAUCCCGGAGCUCAACUCCGGAACUGCAUCCGAUACUGCCAGACUUGAGUAAUGGAGAGGCAGGUGGAAUUCUCGGUGGAGCAGUGAAAUGCGUGGAUAUCGAGAGGAAGACCAAUGGCGAAGGCAGCCUGCUGGACAUUUACUGACGCUGAGGUACGAAGGCUAGGGGAGCGAAAGGGAUUAGAAACCCCGGUAGUCC
rnacentral:rRNA from 1 species